GACACUCUUAUCCAAUCAACCCAUACAAAACCCUGAGUAUACGGGUUAAACUAAAGUUUCCAUCUUUUUCUUUUUCUUAAUUUACUUUUUUUAAUUUUAAUCCAACAUCCGUAUAAAUAAAUAAAUAUUUACUAAUCUGUAUGUUUCAUGGGUUUUUGCUUAACGUCAUUUGAUGGUUUUAUUAGUUCAUGCAACUUUUAGUCGUGAGUCAUGAGCAACUCAACUCCAGAUUCCAAUCUACUUUGUGGGUGUUUUGCUUCGCAUUAGGCGUAUAUUAUUUUCAGCCUUUGAUUUCAUCUUUAUUUGAACCUAUGUUUAGAAUUUGAUUUCAUUUGUAAAUUGUAAUAUCUGGAUAGAGGUGUUAUGGAAGCUCUCAAGUGGAUUCAAGAGUUAGAAGUCACCAAAGAUGACGUUGAAUGUGACUCCCUGCUCACUGUUCCAGCUAUUAAACGUGAAUCUAUCAACUAAUUGAAAGUGAGUUCUGUGCUUCUUGAGUGUUGUUCGAGGCUUCGUGGUCGUCCAAAUAUUUCUAUUUCGUUUGUUAAAAAAUAAAUCAAUAAGGUUGCCUACUUGUUAGCUAGACUAUCUUGUUAGGUUAAUUGUUUUAACGAUUUAUCGUCUCUGUAUUGGGUGACUCUCAUGUAUGAUGCUUCGUUGAUUUAAUAUAUUCCAUGCUUUCAAAAAAAAAAGGUCGUUCACACUAUCUACAGGUGGGGUGCAGUGCGGACUAUUAACUUGGGCAGUUAGGUCGGGAUCCAAGAUUUUCUAGAGCCCCGAUUAUCUGGGUAUGUCAUAUAUGUCAG
rnacentral:lncRNA from 1 species